rnacentral:rRNA from 1 species
GACGAACGCUGGCGGCGUGCUUAACACAUGCAAGUCGAACGGAAAGGCCCUGCUUUUGUGGGGUGCUCGAGUGGCGAACGGGUGAGUAACACGUGAGUAACCUGCCCCUGACUUUGGGAUAACUUCAGGAAACUGGGGCUAAUACCGGAUAGGAGCUCCUGCUGCAUGGUGGGGGUUGGAUAGUUUCGGCGGUUGGGGAUGGACUCGCGGCUGAUCAGCUUGUUGGUGGGGUAGUGGCUUACCAAGGCUUUGACGGGUAGCCGGCCUGAGAGGGUGACCGGCCACAUUGCGACUGAGAUACGGCCCAGACUCCACCGGGAGGCAGCAGUGGGGAAUAUUGCACAAUGGGCGGAAGCCUGAUGCAGAAACGCCGCGUGCGGGAUGACGGCCUGCGGGUUGUAAACCGCUUUCGCCUGUGACGAAGCGUGAGUGACGGUAACGGGUAAAGAAGCACCGGCUAACUACGUG